UACGAAGGGGGCUAGCGUUGUUCGGAAUUACUGGCGUAAAGCGCGCGCAGGCGGUCUUCCAAGUCAGUGGUGAAAGCCUGGAGCUCAACUCCAGAACUGCCAUUGAAACUGUUAGACUUGAGUACGAGAGGGGUGAGUGGAAUUCCCAGUGUAGAGGUGAAAUUCGUAGAUAUUGGGAAGAACACCGGUGGCGAAGGCGGCGACCUGGUCCGAUACUGACGCUGAGGCGCGAAAGCGUGGGGAGCAAACAGG
rnacentral:rRNA from 1 species